rnacentral:rRNA from 1 species
AGGACGAACGCUGGCGGCGUGCUUAACACAUGCAAGUCGAGCGGUAAGGCCUUUCGGGGUACACGAGCGGCGAACGGGUGAGUAACACGUGGGUGAUCUGCCCUGCACUCUGGGAUAAGCCUGGGAAACUGGGUCUAAUACCGGAUAUGACCUGCUCUCGCAGUGGGGGGUGGGUGGAAAGAUUUAGUCGGUGCAGGAUGGGCCCGCGGCCUAUCAGUCUUUGGUUGGUGGGGUAAUGGCCUACCGAAGGCGACGACGGGUAGCCGACUGAGAGGGUCGACCGGCCACACGUGGGACUGAGACACGGCCCAGACUCCGUACGGGAGCAGCGAGUGGGAAUAGUGCA